rnacentral:tRNA from 1 species
GGAAGCGUGGCCGAGCGGUUGAAGGCACCGGUCUUGAAAACCGGCGACCCGAAAGGGUUCUAGAGUUUCGAAUCUCUACGCUUCCGCCA